GGGCCUUCAAUGUCCACCUUGGGUCCUGAGAUGUCAACGUCAGCCUUAGGCAAGUUGACGUCUACUUCAGGGCCCUCUGCUUUGAAGCCAGGCAUGCUGAACUUGGGCAUUUUCAUCUUGGGCAUCUUCAGGUGCCAGUCUGGGCCAUGAACAUCCACAUCUGGGGCAUCAAUGUCCACUUUGGGCCCUCUGAUGUCAACAUCUGGCACUUUCAUUUCACCUUCUACCUUGGGAACAGACACAUCCAUAUCUGGGGCAUCAAUGUCCAUUUUGGGUCCUUUGAUGUCAACAUCUGGCACUUUCAUUUCACCUUCUACCUUGGGCACAGACACAUCCAUAUCCCCUUUGACUUUGGGGCCUUUCAGGUGUAAGUCCACAUCAGGCAUGGAGAUCUUGGGGGCCUUGAAGUGCAUCUCAGGCAUCUUAAACUUGGGCCCUUUCAACUUUGCAUCAGGACACUCCAGAU
rnacentral:lncRNA from 1 species